AAAAUACUCCGGAAAUACUUGUUAUCAAAAUGGAGAAAAAUGAAUGUAUCUAGAUGUAUCUUAGUUUUAGAUACAUAUUUUUUUAUUUAUUUUGAUAACAAGUAUUUUCGGACGAAGGGAGUACAAG
rnacentral:pre_miRNA from 1 species